rnacentral:rRNA from 1 species
GAUGAACGCUGGCGGCGUGCCUAAUACAUGCAAGUCGAGCGAACGGACGAGAAGCUUGCUUCUCUGAUGUUAGCGGCGGACGGGUGAGUAACACGUGGAUAACCUACCUAUAAGACUGGGAUAACUUCGGGAAACCGGAGCUAAUACCGGAUAAUAUUUUGAACCGCAUGGUUCAAAAGUGAAAGACGGUCUUGCUGUCACUUAUAGAUGGAUCCGCGCUGCAUUAGCUAGUUGGUAAGGUAACGGCUUACCAAGGCAACGAUGCAUAGCCGACCUGAGAGGGUGAUCGGCCACACUGGAACUGAGACACGGUCCAGACUCCUACGGGAGGCAGCAGUAGGGAAUCUUCCGCAAUGGGCGAAAGCCUGACGGAGCAACGCCGCGUGAGUGAUGAAGGUCUUCGGAUCGUAAAACUCUGUUAUUAGGGAAGAACAUCUGUGUAAGUAACUGUGCACAUCUUGACGGUACCCAAUCAGAAAGCCACGGCUAACUACGUG